UACGUAGGUGGCAAGCGUUAUCCGGAAUUAUUGGGCGUAAAGCGCGCGCAGGUGGUUUCUUAAGUCUGAUGUGAAAGCCCACGGCUCAACCGUGGAGGGUCAUUGGAAACUGGGAGACUUGAGUGCAGAAGAGGAAGGUGGAAUUCCAUGUGUAGCGGUGAAAUGCGUAGAGAUAUGGAGGAACACCAGUGGCGAAGGCGACUUUCUGGUCUGUAACUGACACUGAGGCGCGAAAGCGUGGGGAGCAAACAGG
rnacentral:rRNA from 1 species